UACGUAGGGGGCAAGCGUUAUCCGGAUUCACUGGGCGUAAAGGGGGCGCAGGCGGCACGGCAAGUCCGGUGUGAAAGCCCGGGGCCCAACCCCGGGACUGCACCAGAAACUGCCGGGCUGGAGUGUUGGAGGGGCAGGCGGAAUUCCUAGUGUAGCGGUGAAAUGCGUAGAUAUUAGGAGGAACACCGGUGGCGAAGGCGGCCUGCUGGACAACGACUGACGCUGAGGCCCGAGAGCGUGGGGAGCAA
rnacentral:rRNA from 1 species